UAAGGAAUAUUGGUCAAUGGAGGCAACUCUGAACCAGCCAUGCCGCGUGAAGGAUUAAGGCCCUCUGGGUUGUAAACUUCUUUUAUAUGGGAAGAAAUGUACUUUUUCUAAAGUGCUUGACGGUACCAUAGGAAUAAGCACCGGCUAACUCCGUGCCAGCAGCCGCGGUAAUACGGAGGGUGCAAGCGUUAUCCGGAUUUACUGGGUUUAAAGGGUGCGUAGGCGGAUGAAUAAGUCAGUGGUGAAAUCUCCGAGCUUAAAUCGGAAACUGCCGUUGAUACUAUUUGUCUUGAAUAUUGUGGAGGUAAGCGGAAUAUGUCAUGUAGCGGUGAAAUGCUUAGAUAUGACAUAGAACACCAAUUGCGAAGGCAGCUUGCUACACAAUCAUUGACGCUGAGGCACGAAAGCGUGGGGAUCAAACA
rnacentral:rRNA from 1 species